UAUUUCAAAAUUAUUCAUGUGGUUGUUUCAAUUCAGUACACAUAUUAAUUAUGCGACCUAAUGACAAAUCAAUAGAAUUGAAAUAAUAUUUUUAAUAAAUUUAGCAGUCAAAUUUAAUUAUGUAAUGAUUAUAAGCUCAUAUAUAUUUACAUUGAUAUUUUUCGUCAUUAAUCCCACAACAAAGAGAAUUCAGGUUUGUUGAUGAAAUGAAGAUUAAUAUAGACUCCAAUAUGUGGUUCAUAGUAUUUUCUUACUGCACCCCACUAUUUCUAAUUACACCUCAUGUUAAUGAAAAAAAGAAAAAAAAAACAGUCUCCUCGUGUUAAUGUAUUCUAGAAAGCUUGUUCCAAAAGAAGCAUGCUCUAAAAUUU
rnacentral:lncRNA from 1 species